rnacentral:rRNA from 1 species
AUUGAACGCUGGCGGCAUGCUUUACACAUGCAAGUCGAACGGCAGCGCGGGCUUCGGCCUGGCGGCGAGUGGCGAACGGGUGAGUAAUGCAUCGGAACGUGCCCAGUAGUGGGGGAUAGCCCGGCGAAAGCCGGAUUAAUACCGCAUACGACCUGAGGGUGAAAGCGGGGGACCGAAAGGCCUCGCGCUAUUGGAGCGUCCGAUGUCGGAUUAGCUAGUUGGUGGGGUAACGGCUUACCAAGGCGACGAUCCGUAGCUGGUCUGAGAGGACGACCAGCCACACUGGGACUGAGACACGGCCCAGACUCCUACGGGAGGCAGCAGUGGGGAAUUUUGGACAAUGGGGGCAACCCUGAUCCAGCCAUGCCGCGUGCGGGAAGAAGGCCUUCGGGUUGUAAACCGCUUUUGUUCGGGAAGAAAUCCUCUGGGCUAAUACCCCGGGGGGAUGACGGUACCGGAAGAAUAAGCACCGGCUAACUACGUG